UUUGUAUGUUUUUGUUUCUUUCUGCAAACCAACACUUUUUAUAGGGAAGCAAGGUGUAUGUAUAGUAAAUAUGUUGUAGAAAAAGUAGACGUAUCAUUUGUGACUUCACCACUACAUAUAUGCACGCCUUGCUCUUUGAAUUAGGAAAAUUAAUUUGUGUAGACAUUUAUUAUUAGCAGAAAACGAAAAGCUACUAAAGAUUAGUAAUUCCAUAAGAGAGCUCAGAUUGAUUCUAUAUGUAUCUUGCAAGUCAGAUGCAACAAAUCAGAGAACCAUUCAAAUCAACCCAACAUGAAUUAUGGGUCAGCUCAAAUAUCGAGUAAAAUAUAUUUACAGGUCAACUCAAAUAUUGAUUACAUUUUGUGUGAUGACCAACCGAAUUAAUUCACUAAUUUUUUUUAAUUGAUUACCAAUUUAUCA
rnacentral:lncRNA from 1 species